GACAUACAAGUGGUAGAGAAGCGAAAGCGGAUCGACCCUUCGGGAGCUUGUACAGGUGCUGCAUGGCUGUCGUCAGCUCGUGUCGUGAGAUGUUCGGUUAAGUCCGCUAACGAGCGCAACCCUCGCUGUGUGUUACAAGUGUCACACGGAACUGCCGGUCAUAAACCGGAGGAAGGUGGGGAUGACGUCAAGUCAGCAUGGCCUUUAUAUCCUGGGCUACACACACGCUACAAUGGGAAGGGACAAUAGGUUGCGAAGCCGCGAGGCGGAGCCAAUCCAGCAAAACUUCCCUCAGUUCAGAUUGCAGGCUGCAACUCGCCUGCAUGAAGUUGGAGUUGCUAGUAAACGCAGGUCAGCCAUACUGCGUUGAAUACGUUCCCGGGGCUU
rnacentral:rRNA from 1 species